GCACAUCGACAGGGGAGCGCCCGCACGGGGCGCUGAGAGUGCGCCCGAUGCGCAGACCCUCGAACCUGCUCCGGCUCGCACCGGCGAAGGAAGUCGAGAACCUCUCAAC
rnacentral:ncRNA from 2 species